CGCUGCUGCCCCGUGAAGACGUGCCUUCCGCCAUGAUUAUUUAUUUCAGCCUGACAUCAGGAGAAGAUCGUUGGAGAGACUUGGAACCAGGUCUGAGAAGAUGAACUGGUGGUAUUCUCCUGCUGUGUUCCUGAAAUCAGCGUCUGGUAUUCAUGCUCUCGUUGCCAAAUGAUGGAUCCCGGGCAUUUCAGCUGACCUAUGGAUAAUCCAGCCCCAGCCCCAGCCCCAGCCCCAUUUUACAGAUGAGGAAACUGGGACUUACUGAAGUCAUGUAUUUAAUGAAGGGUUAAACUAGGAUUUGAACUGAAUCUCUUGAUCUUAAGGCUGAUGGUCUCAUUUGUUCCAUCAUGCAGCUGCCUCAGGCCUGUGCUGUAUCCCUUUAUGCCACACAAGAGAGAUAGCUCCCUCCACUUCAGUCUAUAAUACAAACGAAGAUCAGCCAUUUGUUGCAUCCGAGGUAAACUGGCCUGGAUUUGUGGUCUGAGUUCACCAUAUUUCCACAGUAUGACAUUGAAGAAGAAAGGAAUUUUACUUGUCACUUGAUAGUUAUUGUCUCAUGACACUAAGCUAUGACUUGGAGACAAAGGCCAAGUCAAGCCCCACUGUGAGAUUCAAUGAUUCCUUGGUGGAGAAAGAAGCAUUUGAUGUGGAGCCUGACACACCUGAAUGGAUGAACUAAUAAAUGAUUAAGAAGUAAGUACACCAGCAAGUUUCUUGUGCCUGGACUAAAGAUGGAGUAUAGGAUGAGUAGUAGAAGAUGUAACAACUGGGACUGGAUUACAGAUGGUCUUUGUAUUAGUCUAUUCUCACACUGCUAUAAAGAAAUACCUGAGACUGGGUCAUUUAUAAAGAAAAGAGAUUUAAUUGGCUCAUGAUCCUGCAUGCUGUACAGGAAGCAUGAUGCUGUUGUCUGCUUGGCUUCUGGGGAGGCCUCAGGAAACUUAACAAUCAUGGCGGAAGGCGAAGGGGGCACAGGCAUGUCACGUGGCCAGAGCAGGAGCAAAAGAGGAGGAGGAGGUGCUACACGUUAAACAUCCACAUCUCCCAAGACUCACUCACUAUCGUGAGGAUAGUACCAAGGGGAUGGUGCUAAGCCAUUUGUGAGAAAUCUGCCCCGUGAUCAAAUCACCUUCUACCAGGCCCCACCUCCAACACUGGAGAUUACAAUUCCACAUGAGAUUUGGGUGGGGACACAGAUUCAAACCAUAUCGGUCCUGUGGGCAAGGCAGUGCCCUGAAGACUUUAAAGUAAGAGAAGAACAUGACUCCGUUGGUGCACAGUGCAUCUUGCUGGAUGCUGGGUGCUUGGAGAACUGCUGGUUCCGGGUGGGCGCAGGCAAAGUCCAUUAUUUAUAAUUUUAUAUUAUUUGUAGCACCUAGCAUGGUGUUAGACCCAUAGUAGAUGUUUAAUAAAUAUUUAAUGAAUGACUGCUUUACCUGCUUAAUUAUGUAAAAGUCUUAUCUGAAAAUAUCAAGAUUUAAAAAAACCCACAAAUAUAAAAUUUAACUAUAGAUGUCACAUCUCACAACGACUUUCAUCUUUGAUUUUAUCUUCUCAAAUAACAUUUAUAACAUACCUAAUCUGUUGCCAAACAUAUCAUAGGCAAUUCAGAUAUAAAUGAAAUAAAAAGGAUCCCUUUGCUUUAGAAGCAUGGCAUUUAGUUAGAGAAACAAGACAUAUCCUUAGGUAAAACUCCUAAAUGACAAAACAGAACAAAUCUUACUACAUACAAAAUGAUCUCUAAGGGGAAAGAUCAUUGUGAGAUGGUUUCUUAGGAAUAAAUUUGCAAAAAGUUGGAAUUUUAUGAUAUAUUUAUUAAAUUAAGUUUAGCAUUUAAUACAGAUUUUCCAUUUGAUUUUAAAGUAAAACAGUCUCAGGCGAGGGAAACAAGUGAGCAAACGUUCACAGAAGGUAAAAAGAGGUAAAGUGUCAGAGGCCAAAUUUUAUAUUCAGAAAAACUGACUCAUCGUAGUGAGAACUAUUUGAGAGCUAUGCAUUUAAAACCUACCACUAAAAAAUAGGUGUAUAUUGUCUUUAGUGAUUCAUAGUACAUUUACAAUCACAUGUCAGUCACUGAGGGCAGCUGCAAUUUGCAUCUCAAAAACACAGAAUGUCCUUAAAGGAAAAAAUCAUUGAAACACAUCAUUCAAGAGCCUCCUGGAAGGGAAUUUUUAAUUCACUCAUUGGGUUUUAAGUAAAUGGAAGCUUACUCAAUGAACAUUUAAAACUAAUAGUUUUCUAGUAAUCGUAAUGUAUUGUUAAUAAUCUCAGAAUACUUUAUCUCACUCACAUUCUAUGGAUCAAAAGUUGGUAAAUGUGUACCCUAGCCUUGGAAAAAUGGUUUAGUAAGAACAAUUGCAUUUGCUUUAGGGUGUGUUCAAGUGGUAGCCAUGCAAGUUAGUUCACGUCUUAUAAUAUAUUUCCUUAUCUUUAUAAUGGACUACUGAUAAUAUAAACCUGUUUUCCUCAGUUUUUCCAAAGCCCAAUACACAAUUUUUUUCUCUACUUUAUUCAGUGCCUUCACUCCAAAUAAUUAGAUUGUUGUUAGUCAUUUGAAGCAGAAAUGUGUUUUAUUCUUAUGUGUUGUACACUGUAUAGGUACAAACUGAUAAAUACCUUUGCUGACCAAUUAACCAAAAACCCUCCUCUCUUUUGCCCUUUUUCAGUGGAGGCUACAGCUGUACACAGGAACAAGAUGUCUCCAGAGUUAAAUACAUGAAUUAAAUGCAAUUUCAAUGGAUGUCCCAAUGUUUUAAAUUGAAUAACAUGACUUUAAAGAAGAUAUGGGAAACUUCAACUCCCAGAAAAAUGAAGUAGAUACAUACUUCUCUAUUCCUUCCACUAAGUACAACUGAAAACCGUGACACUAUAUAUAAAACAAACAUAAGAAGACUCUGAAAGGCAAGAAUGGGUUUUCUUUUGCCUCCUUUAUUCCAGACUUGUAACUGAAGAAGCCAUCAACCAAGAAAUUUCCAACAGACCCAGAUGGAAAAAGUCCCAGUGAAAGCCUGUUCUUUAGCCAAAGGGGCCAGAAAAGAGCAAGAUAGCAGGACAAGUGUCAUUGAGGAGAAUUUGCCUAGGAGAUGCAAAGAGAGAGAAGCCUAUACUUUGAGGGUGGAAGCCCCUCCAACAGAUCUCUGCCAUCAUGUGAGAGAGAGCCUGAGUUAGCCUGCUGGAUGGUCAAAGAUGAGUGGUGCAGCUAAGUGAAAGCCUGCUGACUUGUAGACAUAUGAGUAAGGCCAUGCUUGAUCACCUGGCUGCCAGCUGGCCUGCCAACUAAUUGCAGGUACUUGAAAGAGUCCAGCAGAGAUCAGCCACCCCAGGUCAAAUAAACACCCAGCCCCCUCCCUGAGAAUGAUGAACUAAAUAAAUGUCUUAAGUACUAAGUUUUGGGUGUUUGCUACAUAGCAAAAGCUAAUUGAUACUGUUCCCAAGGAGUGGAAAACUUCUGUAACAAAAAACAAAAAAUUCUGGCAUUGGUUUUGGGAUUGGGCAAUGGGUAGAGGCUAGAAAAAUGGCAAGGAAGCUGCCAUAGCAACCUAGAAAAAUGGCAACCCAUGCUAUAAAAUAGGGCAAUUGGUCAAUAAUUUUUGAAGUGGUUUGUUAUGCAGCAAUAGCCUACUGAUACACCAUGUGAAUUAUAGCAAGGAAUAGCUAAGGCAAAACAAAACAUUGGAUGAGUAGCAUAGUUCAUUCUAAAGAACCACUAAGGCUUGCUCAGGAAUAUGUACUAAUUCAGGUGGCAUCUGUUAACUAUCACUGAGCAUAAUAUUGGAGGAUAAAUCUGCUUUGCUUAUUGCCACCCCCGUAGCUUAGAAGCUACUCCUAAAACAGCAAGGAUGUCACUGUGGCAGUGGGCAAGGAUUAAUUCCCUCAUUUAUUUAUUCAUUUAUUAAUUCAACAAA
rnacentral:lncRNA from 10 species